GACGAACGCUGGCGGCGUGCUUAACACAUGCAAGUCGUACGGUAAGGCCCUUUCGGGGGUACACGAGUGGCGAACGGGUGAGUAACACGUGAGUAACCUGCCCACAACUUUGGGAUAACGCUAGGAAACUGGUGCUAAUACUGGAUAUGUGCUCCUGCUGCAUGGUGGGGGUUGGAAAGCUCCGGCGGUUGUGGAUGGACUCGCGGCCUAUCAGCUUGUUGGUGGGGUAGUGGCCUACCAAGGCGGCGACGGGUAGCCGGCCUGAGAGGGUGACCGGCCACAGUGGGACUGAGAGAAGGCCCAGACUCCUACGGGAGGAAGCAGUGGGGAAUAUUGCACAAUGGGCGCAAGCCUGAUGCAGCAACGCCGCGGGCGGGAUGACGGCCUUCGGGUUGUAAACCGAUUUCAGCAGGGACGAAGCUUUUUGUGACGGUACCUGCAGAAGAAGCACCGGCUAACUACGUG
rnacentral:rRNA from 1 species